AUUGAACGCUGGCGGCAGGCCUAACACAUGCAAGUCGAGCGGAUGAAGGGAGCUUGCUCCUGGAUUCAGCGGCGGACGGGUGAGUAAUGCCUAGGAAUCUGCCUGGUAGUGGGGGAUAACGUCAGGAAACGGGAGCUAAUACCGCAUACGUCCUGAGGGAGAAAGUGGGGGAUCUACGGACCUCACGCUAUCAGAUGAGCCUAGGUCGGAUUAGCUAGUUGGUGGGGUAAAGGCCUACCAAGGCGACGAUCCGUAACUGGUCUGAGAGGAUGAUCAGUCACACUGGAACUGAGACACGGUCCAGACUCCUACGGGAGGCAGCAGUGGGGAAUAUUCGACAAUGGGCGAAAGCCUGAUCCAGCCAUGCCGCGUGUGUGAAGAAGGUCUUCGGAUUGUAAAGCACUUUAAGUUGGGAGGAAGGGCAGUAAGUUAAUACCUUGCUGUUUUGACGUUACCAACAGAAUAAGCACCGGCUAACUUCGUG
rnacentral:rRNA from 1 species